rnacentral:rRNA from 1 species
AUACGGAGGGUCCAAGCGUUAUCCGGAUUCAUUGGGUUUAAAGGGUCCGCAGGCGGGAAAAUAAGUUAGUGGUGAAAGCCUACAGCUCAACUGUAGAACUGCCAUUGAUACUGUUUUUCUUGAGUAUAGAUGAAGUGGGCGGAAUAUAUCAUGUAGCGGUGAAAUGCAUAGAUAUGAUAUAGAACACCGAUUGCGAAGGCAGCUCACUAAACUAUUACUGACGCUCAGGGACGAAAGCGUGGGGAGCGAACAGGAUUAGAAACCCUAGUAGUCC